GGAAGUUGGCGUUUCUCAUAGCUGACUGGCGAGCGUCCUUUUUGAAUUUGAUGGGGACGCGUCUUUGGAUCGUGUAAUUUAGGUAAAAUUUGUAUGCUAAUUAUUUUGAGGCAUCUGGCUUUCCUGGAUAAAUUUACCUAUUACACAUAGUGGGGCUAGAUAAUAGAUGUAGUGUGUAUUGGAUAUUUUAGUAUUUAGCCCAAGCCGAAAAGGGAUUAUUUGUUCAAAGACGUGGUCACUUCGCACGCUAGGCAGCGCUGUGUAUGAGGUCUAUAUAGGGAGUAUUAUUUGGAUUAGAGAAGCUCCAUAGGAGAGCAUAGCGUGGUUGACCGUAGUAAAAACCCCGAUAGGCUUAAGCGGUAAGUAAUUCAUGCAAUGAUUAGAUUCUUUAUGUAUUGAGGGACAGACAACCAGUGUCUUAAUUUUAUUUAGUGUUUAUUGAAGCCCGUUGGCUAGGGGUUUAUUCUUGAUUUGUUGCUAAGCCUCCUACAAUGUAGAUGACAUUGCAAGCUAACUUCUAGGCUAUGUUAUAAGUGGUAAAAGCCUGUUUAAAUAAAAUCAGUAACAAACUUAUUGAAAUAUUUAUAUUAUACCAGGGGGUUACGAGAAGAACCUAGUUGAAAUAUAUUUAUUGAUAUGGAACAGAUUUAGUGAUUCAUAGCACCGUACGAGAUGACAAUAUUACUUCGAUGGAUGCAACUGUCAAUUGGGAAUUGAGUAGGCAAUGGGUUUAGCAACCGAGAAUAAACGUUUAAAUAAAUUCAUUGUAAUAAGUGUCUAAUGAGUUUUGUUUUUAUUUUAGGGGUUUUUAUUUUUAUUUUUUUUUGGAGUUUUGGAGUUCGUUUUACUUGGAGUUUUCGUUUUUGGAUUUUUGUAUAUGGUUUCUGGUUUUACUUUUUGUGGAUGUUUUUGGUUACAUUUGGAUGCUAAGAGUCGUCAUUGGAUACAAGUAUAUGUGGUGAAGAAGAUUUCUACUAACGAAUUGUAGUUUGUUACUAGACUAUGGAGGAUAUCAGGUUUUUAUAACAAUGUUAAACAUUUAAAUUCAUUUGUCUUAUUUAUUUUAUAUUAUUUAAUGAUAGUAAAUAUUUUAGGUUCUUUUUUUUUUUGUUAACAAAUUAACGUGUUCUUUUUUUUUUUAUUAUUAUUAUUAAAAUUUAUUGGGGAUAGUCAUACAUUCAACUUUAUAUACAUAUAACUUAUUAUAGAGGUCAUUAUAGUACAUUACUUUUUAGAUUUGUAUUAGUGGCACUCAUGAGCUCAUGCGGCAACUAUAGGGUAGGCACUAGUAUCGCCAAUGUUUAAAAUAUUUCUAAUCUGUAAAUUUAAAUUAUUUUGAUAUUCAUUUCCUUAGCCACUUUAUGCUACCAAUGACUGGACUUGUUUAUUUUCAUAUUUAUUUGUGUUGCAACUGUUUAAUAAAUAAAUGUAAGUAAA